UACGGAGGGUGCGAGCGUUGUUCGGAAUCACUGGGCGUAAAGGGCGUGUAGGCGGCCUGCUAAGUCUGAUGUGAAAGCCCGGGGCUCACCCCCGGAAGGGCAUUGGAAACUGGCGGACUCGAGUCCCGGAGAGGAGGGUGGAAUUCCUGGUGUAGCGGUGAAAUGCGUAGAUAUCAGGAGGAACACCGGUGGCGAAGGCGGCCCUCUGGACGGUGACUGACGCUGAGACGCGAAAGCGUGGGGAGCAAACAGG
rnacentral:rRNA from 1 species